CACAUGCAAGUCGUAACGAAGUGAGAUGAGCCAGAUCGGGGGUACACGAGCGGCGAACGGGCCUGAAGUAACACGUGAGCAACCUACCCUCAACUUCGGGAUAAGCCUCGGAAACGGGGUCUAAUACCGGAUAUCACUCCUUGUCUCAUGGCUUGGGGUUGAAAGUUCUGGCGGUUGGGGAUGGGCUCGCGGCCUAUCAGCUUGUUGGUGGGGUAAUGGCCUACCAAGGCGUCGACGGGUAGCCGGCCUGAGAGGGCGACCGGCCACACUGGGACUGAGACACGGCCCAGACUCCUACGGGAGGCAGCAGUGGGGAAUAUUGCGCAAUGGACGAAAGUCUGACGCAGCAACGCCGCGUGAGGGAUGACGGCCUUCGGGUUGUAAACCUCUUUCAGCAGGGACGAAGCGAGAGUGACGGUACCUGCAGAAGAAGGACCGGCCAACUACGUGCCAGCAGCCGCGGUAAUACGUAGGGUCCGAGCGUUGUCCGGAAUUAUUGGGCGUAAAGGGCUCGUAGGCGGUUCGUCACGUCGGGAGUGAAAACUCGGAGCUCAACUCCGAGCCUGCUUCCGAUACGGGCAGACUAGAGGUAGGCAGGGGAGAGCGGAACUCCUGGUGUAGCGGUGGAAUGCGCAGAUAUCAGGAAGAACACCGGUGGCGAAGGCGGCUCUCUGGGCCUUACCUGACGCUGAGGAGCGAAAGCGUGGGUAGCGAACAGGAUUAGAUACCCUGGUAGUCCACGCCGUAAACGUUGGGCGCUAGGUGUGGGGGACAUUCCACGUCCUCCGUGCCGCAGCUAACGCAUUAAGCGCCCCGCCUGGGGAGUACGGCCGCAAGGCUAAAACUCAAAGGAAUUGACGGGGGCCCGCACAAGCGGCGGAGCAUGCGGAUUAAUUCGAUGCAACGCGAAGAACCUUACCUGGGUUUGACAUAUAGGGAAAUCCUCCAGAGAUGGGGGGUCCGUAAGGGUCCUAUACAGGUGGUGCAUGGCUGUCGUCAGCUCGUGUCGUGAGAUGUUGGGUUAAGUCCCGCAACGAGCGCAACCCUCGUCCUAUGUUGCCAGCACGUUAUGGUGGGGACUCAUAGGAGACUGCCGGGGUCAACUCGGAGGAAGGUGGGGAUGACGUCAAGUCAUCAUGCCCCUUAUGUCCAGGGCUUCACGCAUGCUACAAUGGCCGGUACAAAGGGUUGCGAUACCGCAAGGUGGAGCGAAUCCCAAAAAGCCGGUUUCAGUCCGGAUAGG
rnacentral:rRNA from 1 species